rnacentral:rRNA from 1 species
UACGUAGGGGGCGAGCGUUGUCCGAAGUUACUGGGCGUAAAGCGCGCGUAGGCGGCUUUUUAAGUCUGGGGUGAAAGGUUCUGCGCUUAACGUGAACAGUGCCCUGGAGACUGGAAGGCUUGAGUGUGGGAGGGGGCAGUGGAAUUCCUGGUGUAGCGGUGAAAUGCGUAGAUAUCAGAAGGAACACCGAUGGCGAAGGCAGCUGCCUGGCCUAACACUGACGCUGAGGUGCGAAAGCGUGGGGAGCGAACGGG